AAGUCGUAACAAGGUUUCCGUAGGUGAACCUGCGGAAGGACAACAACGUAUCCAAAUGUUACAAACCCCUUCCACGUGAACAUUCAUCCCGCUCUUGUAAACCGCGAAGCUUGCAAUCUCUGUCAAUCAUAGCCCAGAAGGUGGUUUUGAUUUAGAGACCUCUGGCCCGUGAGAAUAUUGGAACAGUUACAAUUUUGAGCGGUAGUUCUACAGGCCUUGUUUCCCAAACAGUCAGUGUUCGAAAGGUCAUUGGUUGUGCAGGGCAACGCUUCACGACUCUUGUAGACCGCAUCUCGCGGGCAGGAGCUAGGCUAAAGGCCUUACAACCCCACAGUUUAAUGUGAAGCUCAAUGUAAUACAUUGGGUAAAAAAACCGAACAACUGUUAAGAACGGAUAUUCUC
rnacentral:misc_RNA from 1 species